rnacentral:rRNA from 1 species
UGGGGAAUAUUGCACAAUGGGCGCAAGCCUGAUGCAGCCAUGCCGCGUGUGUGAAGAAGGCCUUCGGGUUGUAAAGCACUUUCAGCGAGGAGGAAGGUGGUGAACUUAAUACGUUCAUCAAUUGACGUUACUCGCAGAAGAAGCACCGGCUAACUCCGUGCCAGCAGCCGCGGUAAUACGGAGGGUGCAAGCGUUAAUCGGAAUUACUGGGCGUAAAGCGCACGCAGGCGGUUUGUUAAGUCAGAUGUGAAAUCCCCGGGCUCAACCUGGGAACUGCAUUUGAAACUGGCAAGCUAGAGUCUCGUAGAGGGGGGUAGAAUUCCAGGUGUAGCGGUGAAAUGCGUAGAGAUCUGGAGGAAUACCGGUGGCGAAGGCGGCCCCCUGGACGAAGACUGACGCUCAGGUGCGAAAGCGUGGGGAGCAAAACAGGAUUAGAUACCCCGGUAGUCCACGCUGUAAAACGAUGUCGAUUUUGGAGGUUGUGCCCUUGAGGCGUGGCUUCCGGAGCUAACGCGUUAAAUCGACCGCCUGGGGAGUACGGCCGCAAGGUUAAAACUC